AGAUUAAAGAGAAAAGACCAGACUCAUUUUGACUCUUAAAUAAAUAUUAUUAAAUAUUUUUCUCAAAUAAAUAUAUGCAUAGAAUGUAGUAAACGAUAUAUUUCAUUCCCCCAGGGCAUGCAAAAUGGAACACAGACUCCCUGUUCAAAGUAUCUGCGAAAUAUACUACUGCUAAAAUUACUAUUCUCUCUUUAUAAAAUGAAAAGAACCUGAUUUAAAAAGCUGGACCUAGUUAAAACCAGAAGCCAAGCCUUUCUUUACACCUUAAAAAAAUAUUUCAUUGAUUCCUCACUGAGUGUCAAUCAACGCCAGCUUUUAUCCACAUCUUCACGAAGAGGAGAACAUUGAAGAGAAAUCUCUUCGAAGUACUUGAGUAUUUGAAACCAACACACCUUGGCAUUUCACCCAAGCUCUUCUAUGUACCUGAAGCCCCCGGGAACCGCACAGGAAGGAAAUCUCUGGUGUUAUUAUUGGUCAAAAUGGCAAACAUCUCCAGAUAAGAAAACUGAACUUAGAAAGACAUUCUACUAUGUCAUAGACCCGUAUGUUAGGAAGCUACAUAGAGUUAUUCAGGAUGAGGCAAGUACUAAAUAAAUUACGGUAACCCUGUUGAUCUUGGCUUUCAGUUUCGUUUUGAUUUUUUAUUG
rnacentral:lncRNA from 1 species